UCGCGUCUUACGACGGCAGUUUCACUAGAGUUCCCAGCAUUAAGUGCACCACCUGUGAAGGUCCGGCCGAACCGACCCCGUGUUUCCACGGGUGCGACCUACAUGUCAAGCCCAGGUAAGGUUCUUCGCGUUGCGUCGAAUUAAACCACAUGCUCCGCUGCUUGUGCGGGCCCCCGUCAAUUCCUUUGAGUUUUAGCCUUGCGGCCGUACUCCCCAGGCGGGGCACUUAAUGCGUUAGCUUCGGCACGGAGGGAGUCGACACCCCCCACACCUAGUGCCCAUCGUUUACAGCGUGGACUAC
rnacentral:misc_RNA from 1 species